UCAGGGACGAGCGCAUUUAUUAGAUCAAAACCAAUCGGUUCGCUCCGGCGGCCGUCGAAUUGGUGACUUUGGAUAACUCUAAGCGAAUCGCACGGACCUGCUCCGGCGAUGUAUCUUUCAAAUGUCUGCCCUAUCAACUUGCGUAGGCCGUUAACUUGACCGCCUUGGUUGUUACGGGUAACGGGGAAUCAGGGUUCGAUUCCGGAGAGGGAGCAUGAGAAACGGCUGCCACAUCCAAGGAAGGCAGCAGGCGCGCAAAUUACCCACUCCUGGCACAGUGAG
rnacentral:rRNA from 1 species